rnacentral:lncRNA from 1 species
CUCUCUCCCUGGAUAUAAUGUGGUGUGGAACCCCUCUAACAUCUCCUAUGAUCUACUGAUUGAGAACAUCACUGAAUCUGACCUGGGACUCUACUACUGUGGGACUGUGAAGUACAAGAUGGAAGAAGGAAAACGAAUGAAAUAUAAAGAGUUGUUCCACUAUGGAAACAUCACCACUAGGAUUUCACUUGAAACCGGUCCUCCUGCCAGUCUAUUGCCAGAAACCAGUCCUCCUGACUGUCUAUUGCCAGAAAUCAGUCCUCCUGAGCCAUCCUCGUCCUCCCCUCCUCCUGUAGACUGUGGUCUGUGUUGGAUGUUGCUGUUCAGUCUGUGUCCUGUGUCUGCUCUCCUCUACUCUGCCUGCGUCUACUCCUUCUAUAGAACAACAGCUCCAACUGAGACUCAGGUUCCUCUGAACAGGACCACCACCAGGGGAAGUGACAGCAGAGAGCAGACUACAGUCAAAUACAUACACAUCUAUCAAUACCUGCAGAGUGUGAGACCUAUACCAUCCAUCAAUACCAGCAGAGUGAGACCAAUA